rnacentral:rRNA from 1 species
GCACAAGCGGUGGAGCAUGUGGUUUAAUUCGACGCAACGCGAAGAACCUUACCUGGGCUUGACAUGUUCCUGACCGCCGUGGAAACACGGUUUCCCUUCGGGGCAGGAUCACAGGUGGUGCAUGGCUGUCGUCAGCUCGUGUCGUGAGAUGUUGGGUUAAGUCCCGCAACGAGCGCAACCCCCGUCGCAUGUUGCCAGCAUUUAGUUGGGGACUCAUGCGAGACUGCCGGUGACAAACCGGAGGAAGGUGGGGAUGACGUCAAGUCAUCAUGCCCCUUAUGUCCAGGGCUACACACGUGCCACAUUGGCGCGUACAGAGGGUUGCGAUACCGUGAGGUGGAGCGGAUCCCUUAAAGCGCGUCUCGGUUCGGAUUGCAGGCUGAAACUCGCCUGCAUGAAGGCGGAGUUGCUAGUAAUCGCGGAUCAGCAUUGCCGCGGUGAAUACGUUCCCGGGC